ensembl:lncRNA
AGAUCUGGGGGAACACCAAGCAGACACACAGACAGACAGUCACACUCAGCAUGGGAAUCUUGGCCCGACUGACUAACUCAGAAUGAGAGACUUCAGUGUGUGAUAGAGGUGGCGGCAACUUCGUUUCACACUCGCUUUGAAUCCAAAAAUGUGACGGCAAGAGACUUCUACUGGCUGUGACAGCCAGACAUGCUGUGCUUUUGUUCUCACUUUAAGCCCUGAAAAAAUCAAAACUUAUUUUGCACUGGGGUGAGAACAUGACAAAAAUACUUUGUUGUUGUUAUGGAAGUCUUUGUGUUUUGGCUUUGGAGUUGUCCAACUUGGUACCUGGAGGUGCUCCAGAUACAUCAGCCUUGGCUCAGGCUACAAUCUCAUAUAUUACUUGUUUUACUACAUCAUAAACUGAGACAUCUUUAAAGUAUUAGAGCAAAUCGGUCAGUUGAGGGAUUUUUCUUAUUGCAGUAACAGAGUGAAACACAUGAAAAGAUUUGAGCAAUCCCUCAGGAGUACUUGAGUUCGCUGCUUGCUUUUGCUGGUAGCCAGUCGCCCCAUCAGCCUCACCUUGGACCUGGUUUCUUGAGCACCAUAACAACUAAUUCCAGACAACAUCGUAGCUCUGUGUCCUGUUUUGUCUAUGUGGGGGUCAUUAUGGCUCUGUGGGGUGUAAUAUAAUGAAAAUGUUUCGGCGACAAUGCAGACCAGAACGAACACAGAUUUCAGAGACGGCUGUUUUCAUUAGAGGCUGGGUGGAGGCUUUUGCGCAGGAGAAAAUGAUGGUUAUCAUGACGCCUCCGAGAUGAGAAUAUUACGACAGCAGAGAUGCUGGACUAGAGCUGAUGAUAUCCCUGGGUGGCUGAGGCCUGUCAUCAGGGUCAGGGGUGCUGCCGGUGUACGUAAUGGGUCUCUGCUCUCUGGCGCGGACGAGACUGGAACAUUUCAGAGGGUAAUGGCCUCUACGAAACCAUAUCUAUAGCAAUUCAAUUUACCACAGAACUGCAGCCCUCAAAAAAAUAAAUAUAAAAAAAUAUCCCUCAGAACAUCUGCGAAAGCUUCGGCAAAUCUUUUCAAUUGGACUUAGCGGAUUUUUAUGCAGUUUUGGCCCAGUCUUGUCACUUGAUCUUGAAGGACAAGAUGUUCUGUUUAAGGAGUAAUACUUUCAAUAUGCACAUUAAAAUUUGCUUGCUCUUAUACCAAUGCGUAGGAAGAGAGAAUGCUAACUAAAAAAAAGCCUCCGCAGGGAGCUGGAAAUACAUGAAUUCAGAUCGGCAGAAUUACGACUGGUGCUUCUUGAUGUAACAGACAGAACUAUAAAGUAGAAGAAUGUGCAGUUCACACACAG